AAUAUUGGAAAAUGGGCGAAAGCCUGAUCCAGCCAUGCCGCGUGUGUGAAGAAGGUCUUCGGAUUGUACCGCACCUUAAGUUGGGAGGAAGGGCAGUAAGUUAAUACCUUGCUGUUUUGACGUUACCGACAGAAUAAGCACCGGCUAACUUCGUGCCAGCAGCCGCGGUAAUACAAAGUGUGCAAGCGUUAAUCGGAAUUACUGGGCGUAAAGUGGCCGAGGGUGGUUGGUUAAUUUGGACGUAAAGGCCCCGGCUUCACCCUGGGACUGCCUUUCAAAACUGCAAGGCUAAGGUAGGUCAAAGGUUGGUGAAAUUUCUUGUGAGGCGGUAAAAUGCGUAAAUAUAGGAAGAACCCCCAGUGGCGAGGCCAACCACCGGGGCAAUUAUUGCCACUAAGGUGCAAAAGCGUGGGAGGAAAA
rnacentral:rRNA from 1 species